rnacentral:misc_RNA from 1 species
AGAAAAGAAGUCAAGGAUCCUCCAGUUCUCUUGGAUGUGGGACUUCGGGUUUGGUUUGAGAGCAUGGACCAUGUCCGGGAACUUCAUCCCAUCACGGACGAAGAACACUGGGAAGUUAUUUCCAACGAGAUCAAAAUUCCCCUCCCUAGUGUAAAAUUUCACAGCGAAACCUCGCGGAUCCCUCAAGGUUUCAGGACUCCCACGCUCAUGAAUGACAGUAGAAAACCGGACAAUGACUGGAGUCUGUACUCCUGGUGCACGCAUGAAAUCAGCACAUGUGAGAUGAGAAAUGUCAUGAGUAACU